rnacentral:rRNA from 1 species
CUUUGAAGUCGGAAUCGCUAGUAAUCGCAGAUCAGCAUGUUGCGGUGAAUACGUUCCCGGGUCUUGUACACACCGCCCGUCAAACCAUGAGAGUCACCAACACCCGAAGUCCGCCUUGGCGGCCUAAGGUGGGGGAGAUGAUUGGGGUUAAGUCGUAACAAGGUAAC